rnacentral:lncRNA from 1 species
UGAUAAAACUAGAUUACACAUAAAUAAGUAGAACAUAAAUUCAAUAUCCAAAAAACACACAUAAAUAACUAUCGAUAAAACUAGUUUAGCAUUGUUGUUUAGUCACAUAAUAGAUAUCUCUAAACCCUAGAAGAUCAUAAAAUUUUCAACUAUCCUCCAUUUCCGUCUUAAGCCACAAAGCUCUAAUCUUGGGAUUAAUUGAUAAAAACAUAAUUCACUUGUCCUUAUUGAGCAAUAAUUUAAGUGCGAAAAAGUAUAGCGGACUAGCUUCUGGAACUUCUUCUGACAUGCUGUCAAGCACUUUGACUGCUUGUGGAAUACCAUAUGGAUCCAUAACAAGAGUCAAACUAGAUGUGGCUUGACUCACAUUAUUAGCUGCAUUGUAUAAUUUUUCUAUUUGAGUGGACAAUCUUGCAGCCCCUCCAAUUUGCUUUGAGGAUUUCUUUCUUUCGGUUUUAAAAUGUGAACUUGAUAUCUUAGGGUUUUUUCUUUUUU